CAAUUUAUGAAAAUAAUUAUAUCAUAAAUAUCAUAAGAUCACGCACACUCUGCAACAUAACACAUAUCAUGCUUUUGUAUUUCAAUCAUCAGAUAACAAUUAUCCCCUUUUUUAUCAGCCUACUAGUAUCCAUGAGGAUCCAUAGGGGGUCCCCACUACACGUGAACCAUUCACAUUAAUAACUUAAUUUCAGGGCCGUCCCCAUACCCCGUCCGGUAUGAGCACCAAAACCAUAAACCUCAAUACUCCGUCUGGUAUGAGAAUGAAACAGGCCGUCCCCAUACCCCGUCCGGUAUGCGCAC
rnacentral:lncRNA from 1 species